UUACAUAAUCUCUAAAAUUAUUCUGACAUUCCAAGGUCAAUAUGGUAGGUCUCGCCUGAACACGAGGUGGCCAAUAUUUUUUUCAAUCAACUUUCUACUCCUCAAUUUUUUUUUUUUUCCCUAAAACACCAUUAUUAUUUUAAUAGCCUUUUAAGAAGUGGCAUUUGCUAUUUUGCUUCCAGCUCGGCGGAUUCGGGACCCGUACCUAUGGCCUAUGGGCCAACGUGAGAACUACCAGCGGUGCGGCCCGGUCUGUUUCAGCGGAGAGGCGUCCCUCGCUGACGGCCAAAUUGAAAUCCACGCUGCCCGGGAACCGCCGUCGCGCUUGUUUGUACUCGGGUUCAACAUUCCCGGACCCGAGACCCGGUGAACCAAACCCCGUAUUACAACAUCGUCUGGCUCUGGCUCUCAUGGUCUUAUUACCGUUAACCCGAAAACAAUUCCGCCGCGGUACCCCCAGCUCCCUUCCACUCCGUCGCAUCUCUCGUCGCCGUCCAUCCAGGAAACCCUUCCAAGAAGAGGCGGGAGGAAUGGUGACGGCGUUCGAGACCCACGCGCUUCAAUUGGAGCGGCGGCAUCCUUCGGCGUUUCAUCGGAUCCUUCUCCUCCUGCUAUUCUUCUCCCUCUUGCUUGCGGUUCACCUUCCCGUUCGGUCCUCCAUGAUGCACAACAAGAACUGGGCCGUCUUGGUUUGCACCUCCCGUUUCUGUUUCAGUCUCCUGGUGUUUUGACAAUUGGAAGUAGCAAGAAAGGGGAAAAAUCCUACUCUCACCAUCUUGACUCAGAUAUUGGUUCACUUUCUACACACUCGCCUUUUUUGAGAAGUUGAACAUGUACAGCAAUGCCUCAUUGAACAGAUUACAUAAUCCCAUUAUAUUAUCUUUGAGGGCUUGGCUCAAAAAGUUGCUGUCAUUUUUCGGCACACCUGGACAAACUUGACUUCCCCAGGGAGCCCGAUAGGUGCAAGUGUUUACUACCAACAGUUUUCAAGGAUACCUCAAAUUGACCAUCUUUCUUUUUUGGUGGUUGUAACAGUCCUGAUUAUGGUUGGAUUGUCUAUAUUUGAAGACUCUACAUAAGCUUGUUUUAGCACUGAUACUUAAUCUCGAGGCCUUGAUGCAACCAACUGGCAUUUGGCUUUAUCAUUCGCUACCUUUCUUUUUAAUUCAUACGAUCCAAGUGUGCUGAUGUCAACUGCAUAUUACCAUAUGGAUCUUUGUCAAUGAUCCCUGUGUGAGGUGCCUGUAACAAAUUUAUUUGGGUCAGUCAUGAAAACAAUUCACACAGACUCAGCAUACACUGGCAUCUCAGCUGAACCUAAAAUUGAAGCACCAUAUGUCUUGGAAGAUAACAAGGCUGACCGAAUAAUGUUAGAAAGUGAUGCUGACCGGUACAAAACAUAUGAUCAGGACAAGAAGGAGGGGAACUGUAGUUUCCAUACAUGGUUGAAACAUUUACAAGAAAGACUGGAAGAUGAGAAUGCUGACACUCUAGUGAAAUAUGGCUUUGGAACCAUGAUCCUAUCACUAGCAGUUUCCACUUGGCUAUCGACAUAGGCAUUCCAAAUGACAUGCAUGGGUCAUCAUCUUCUGUGCCAUAGCUGUACAUGAUGAUGAUAUUCAGGGUUUGGCAUCCCGUCCAUUCCAUGAUAUUUCAGAGGGUUUAUUGAGAAAAAAACAUUUUUCUUUUUUAAUCUUAUGGAACAUAUAUGUCUUCAACUGUCUGGAAUAUUUAUGGUUCUUCUCUCUUGAUGUUUAUCUCGAGAUAAGGAGAAAACCGUCAAAAUGUAGCAUGCCAAUCAGUUCACAUGAAUUCGGAUAAGAUAUUUAUGACUGGAAUUAGCUGACUCAGGUCAGAGGUCUUGAAGACAACCUACAUUUGAGCUCUCUACAUACGUGACAGAUGCUUAAAGAGUCUAUUCUCUCAGAUUAGAUGAAGUUGACUCCUCCAUGGUUGGCAAAUUCCAAUCUUCUUGGGGCCUCAUGUUGUGUUACUGAUCUGCUACGGCAUUGGGCGAAUAACAGUCCUUAUUGUGGGCCGUCCGUAGGUAUUGAGUGCCGCCAUUUUUAGUUUCAGCUUCGGAAUCGUUCUCAUCCACAAAGGAUUAUUGAUAUUUAGAGGCAUGUUUAUGGCAUGAAAAUAAUUAAAAAAGAAGAAGAAGAAAGUUAAUGGAAGAGUUUGGCAAUCCAGAAGCUAUGAUACCUGAUCUCUUUAAUGAAGACCGGCUCGUUCCUUUUCUUCCAUAAGGUAUCAUUCAUGCUGCACUUUUGGUCCAUCCACCAUCCACCGGGUAUGUCAUCUUGUUCGAAUUUUAAGUUACUUUUGAGAACGUUCGUUGAGUAUUAUAAUGACUUCCGCCGUGGAGGUCACCAUCUGACUACCGAACUUAUCAGGAUGGUAGCUUCGAAUUUCUGUGAAUCCUGUUCUUUGCAUGCACGGUGCCUCAUUUCUAGUAUUACAAUUUACAAGCCGCACACGUUGGCCAGAUGCAGUUCUGGUUUCUGCAGUCUGAUGGCUGCUACCUAUAUUCGUCCUCCUAGCCAAAUUGCUGAAUGGAGGACCCAUGUCUUUGGGACCCGUUAGCGAAAAAAAAAUUCAGGCUUAAUUGUGGGCAAACUGCAUUAGCAUUUAAAGGAUAUGGUUUGGUUGGAGUGCACUAAGAGGGGCCUAACAAUUUUGAGAAAGGUGAGACCCAUGGCUUUUGAUGCACGAGACGUCUGCAAUCUGGCUGAUAGAUCUCUGUUCUCUCAUCUUGCUCUGUUUCCUGAUUGAUCUUAUGUUAGUAUAUCAUUGAUUAUUCUACUCUUAUUAUUUGAUAAUAAGAACUAUAAGGGUCAUUGCUUAAUUUCAAGCGCACAAAUUUAGUAAACGGUUAGCAUCAACUGACCUGUGCAAUACUUGGGGGAUAAGAUCAAUGUAAGCUCAUCCGUUGGAGACGCAAAGAGCAAAAAGGGCGGUAGCAUGGUGCAUUUAAACAACUAUAAGAGUGGAUAUAGAACAAGGAGUAAAAAUUUAGAUAACUAUGAGGGAUGAAGUGACAUGGAUUCCAAGGAAAUCGAGAAGAGAAGUGCCCGGAUCUCUUUGCUUCAGGACGUGUGUUAGGCAUGUGUCUCAUUUUACAACUGGAAUGAAAGAAACAUUUGUUUGUUCUCUUUCUUUUUUUGUUUCCUUGUUUUGUUUUGAGAGAGAGAGAGAGAACACGGCUUAAUGAUACGUUAGAUCAUAAUCAAGUGAUUUUUUAUUGCUAGAUGUUUAAAGUGGUAUAGAUCAUAAUUAAUUGUGUGCAUCUUUGAUUUAGAUGCCUGGUUAUUAAUAUGCCCUUGGAGGGAAUAGAUACCUUCCUCUCUAUCAAUCUCUUGAAAUUUUCCUAGAUUAUAACAUUAAUGAUGGAUCUUAUUGAACAGCGCAAUCAUAUUAAGUUAUGAAUAUUCUCAUAGAAUAGUUUAAUGGCAUCCACUAUCAGUUGCCAGAAUAUCAUUGCUAUCGUCAUAGCAUGUCAACGGGCACAUCGUAAAGUAAAAUAAUUAUCAUGUCAUACCUCCUGCCAUGAUGCAAACUCUCCUUUAUGCUAAAGGAUGGAUUCCAAGUUUCCAUCAUAUCCUUAGAGAUGUUCCUUUAUUUUUCACUCUUCUGGUUGAAUUGUCUCUUUAAAGGAGAGAGCAACGAAGAUGCAUCAGCUAAAAAUUCAAGCGUUUUUAUCAGAUCACAUUCUCCUCUGAGUCAUAAGUUACGAGUAUGACCAACUCCACCUGUCUGCCAAGCUCAGACUUCCAACUUCGAAGCAUCCAUUAACUCGAGUUCCCUUCUCCUCAACGAGACAAAAAGGAUUGGGCGUCGGCCCGCGAGAGACAUUUGAGCCCAGGAGUCCACGGAGGAAUGGAUGAUCAUUCCACACUUUUAUUUAGAAAAGGGAGCUGCCUCUUUAUUCCCGUUGCUUUGUUUUUUUACUUUUUGGUAAUCAUGUUUGGUGACAAUUUGACAACACUAAUCUCUGUUAAACAUGAAGAUUUCUGUAAAUAAUGCUGAGAAUGAUGGUGAGAAUGAUAUCCUCUCCUAGUCAACCCCAGCCCCAUAUGAGCUGUUAAUGAUGGUGAUGCAUGUAGAGAGACAUCUCUUGAGUGACGUUUUUUGAAUGUGAGUUUCUAAAUGAUU